rnacentral:lncRNA from 1 species
CAGUUGUUUUGUCCUAAAGAGCUCCUAUAAGUGUUUCAUGAAGGUUGAGGCGAUGAGCAAGAAUCCAGGGACAACAAACUCUAAUUCUUAGUAUGUAACAUUUGACCAAUACUCUAGCUUACUGUUCUGUGAAGUUGUGAAGUGUGUGUGUGUGUGUGUGUGUGUGUGUGUGUGUGUGUGUGUGUGUGUGUGUGUAUAGUAGGGGCAGGGGUAGGAACGUGUAGUUGUUCAGUUAGAUCUGUCUCUCCUCUUGGAAGAACAACUGAAAAAUGUCUGAUUUACUAUAUGGGAUGAGAAAGGUCAUCCUCAAGUAGUCAUGCCAGGACAUUUUCCAUAAGUAGCUAGUAUGAAUGAUUGUUAAUAAAGGUAUUUAUUGUAAGUUGCCAAGCUCUGAAUUGCUAAAAGUAGGUUAAAAUUCAAUUUGUUUGUUUGUGUCUGUAGUAAUUAGCUUAUAUAUAAUUCUUCAAUAGAAAGUAUGGAAUCUUACAUAUUUCUUCAUGAACUUUUUGGAGUAGAAAUUCUGCCAGACAUUAUCUAAACAAGCUUCCUUAGUUUACCAAGCCAUCAAAAGGCAAUGUUCUUAUACCUCUUGUUGGUUGCUGGGGAAGGUGUGCUGUGAGCCACUGUCCACUUCACCCUCAUCUUUAGUGCUGCUUCCACUUCUGCCAUUGUCUGACAGGAUGCUGUGCGUGCUGUGGGAAUACCUGGGCCAUCCUCCUUUCCAUUCUCGCUGUCAGAGCUGGAGAUGGAUAGCUUUCAUGGGAACCAAGACUUCUUUUCUCAGAGGUACUGAUAGUGGUCAUGGCUGAGCUUCAGGAAGACCAGGGAGGAGUCAUAGCUAUAGUGAAAAGAGAAUGCGUUGUAUCCAUUGCCUGGAGACAGUCUCAUAGAAUUCUUCAUGUUUUUGUGUAUUUUAAUAGACAGUGGUAAGGUAUUCUGUUCCCAACAGCAAAGACAUUAAACAAGAGAAGACUCCUGUCCUUCUGCCUGGUGAUGUUUGUUUGUACCUCAGUCUGUGUUGCCAGAAUCACUUUAAACCAAAGCUUUUGUAUUCCCUGCAUACAUAGCCAAAAUGAUUAGCCCUGAUACAUUUGCCCAUGUGUGAGGUAAUAGUGUCUGAAUGGUAGAGCAGAUGCUAGUAGACUUUGUUGCCAAUCUUCUUCUCCUUAAGGAAAAGGACAGGUGCUAAGAGUCUGCAUUAGACAUGCAGAAUCCUUGCUACUGUGGAGCUCCUAGACACUGCAGACCUAAGUUCUUCAGCGUGCCAGGCUCACCCACACCCUUUGACCCCUGGUGUGAGAUUUGUGUUGACGUCUGAUGCCUCUGUGGGUGGCUCAUCGUCUUUCUAGUGUCUUAACAUUUAUGAGUUUGUGUUUGACGUAAGGGACUUUCAACACUGCUGUGAAGAGAAGUAGGUUAUGAACUGGUCUGCUUUGUGCCACAAACAUUUGGAACAUCUGCUCCCUCUUCUUUAAACCUUAUAGAAUCUGACCCCCACUGAGGAUUUAUGGGUCUUGUAAUGCCAGUUGAGAAAAGUUUAUGACUAUUCUGAAAAGCACUUUGUAUUCGUUUAUUUGUAUUUAGAACUUAAAAAAAUCCUGUAUAUUCAAUGAUUUUAGCAUUAGCAUCACUUAGAACAGAAGAUAAGUAAUUAAUUAUAUGUUAAACUCUAGUAGAUGCAUUGACUCCAGAAUAUAUUUGACAUGUUCUCAGUUAUCCAAAGACUUUUUUCCUCCUCGCAGUAAGGAGAGUAGACUAGUGUGGGACUCUACAAGCCAGAAAGGCUUAUGGGCAAAAGGAAGUGGGCCAAACCCUUGUCAAUUAAAACCAUAUUGUCUAGGGAUGAGAAUACGUCUUUAUAGACAGUUUUUUAAUAAUUAGUAAGUAAAAGGUUUACAUUUCUUCCAUUGCUGUUGGUUUUAAAAUUUAGCCUGCAUUCUGAAAUAUCUUAACAAAGUUAAUACCAAAAACACCUUUAAUGUCUGACAUCUCUUAUAUUUUAUGUGGUUGUUUUUACUCAUUGUAAAUAAACUUGGAUAAAUUUGAAAAUAAACUUUUAUCUUGCAAACUAUGAUUAUAAAUUUGUAAAUUUACCCUUUGACUUAAUGUACAUUUAAAAUGUAUCCAUUAAAUUCUUUAUAUUUAAUGUAUUAUUUUCAGCAAAUGUUUUUAAUCUCAGUUGAAUACUGGGCAGUUUAUAAUUAUGUACAAAUAUUUUUUGUUUUCUAUCAAUGUUGACUUUUUGCACAUUUUCGAACAUUUAAUUUGUACACUGAUUUAUAUGACCAAUAAUUGUUGAGUGACUGAGAAUCAUGAGUGUGUGCAUUGAACUACUGUCUUUGUGUUUGCACUUCUCCCUAGAUGUAGCCCUCAGUUUCUGUGCUGCUAUGACCCUUAGUAGGAUGACCUUCUUGCUUUUGCAAAGUCACCUGUGUGUGGUCCUGCGUUUGUUGGAGAACUCAGGAGUUCAGUGUUGCAGUCUAAUUUUGUCCUGUAUUCUGAAUCCAUUCCUAGGUUGAAAGUAUUCUGUGUGUAUCAAGAGAUAUGUGUGUGUGUGAUGUCCUUUUCUUUGUGUAGACACAUGUAUAUAUCUUAGUAAAUUCUUAUUUUCACUUCAUUUCUACAAUUUUAAGAACUUUAUGAUAAUUAAAUAUGUGUAAAGGCUUUCUGAAAGAUUAUUUACUAUAUAUAUACACUAUAUUUUCAGCU